rnacentral:RNase_P_RNA from 1 species
GGAGUAGGCGCAGGCGGUUGCAGGUCAGUCAGAUUGACUGGUUUGAGGAAAGUCCGGGCUCCCGAAAGACCAAACUUGCUGGAUAACGCCCAGUGCGAGCGAUCGUGAGGAUAGUGCCACAGAAAGAUACCGCCAAGAAUUAGGGAGUAGGGAGUAGGGAGUAGGGAGUAGGGAAAAAACACCCCAUUCACCACUCACGAUUCACCGCUCCCCAGUAAUUGGUAAGGGUGCAAAGGUGCGGUAAGAGCGCACCAGCACAACCGAGAGGUUGUGGCUCGGUAAACCCCGGUUGGGAGCAAGGUAAUGGAAACUACGGUUGGUCUUUUACCAGUUUCCGCAAGUAGAGCCGCUAGAGGCGUUUGGUAACAAGCGUCCCAGAUAGAUAACUGCCCUCAAAGGUGUUUUUAAACACUGGCGAGAACAGAACCCGGCUUAUGUCCGACUCUCUCC